rnacentral:rRNA from 1 species
AGUCGAACGAUGAAGCCGGAGCUUGCUCUGGUGGAUUAGUGGCGAACGGGUGAGUAACACGUGAGUAACCUGCCCUUGACUCUGGAAUAAGCGUUGGAAACGACGUCUAAUACCGGAUACGAGCUUCCGCCGCAUGGUGAGGAGCUGGAAAGAAUUUCGGUCAAGGAUGGACUCGCGGCCUAUCAGGUAGUUGGUGAGGUAAUGGCUCACCAAGCCUACGACGGGUAGCCGGCCUGAGAGGGUGACCGGCCACACUGGAACUGAGACACGGUCCAGACUCCUACGGGAGGCAGCAGUGGGGAAUAUUGCACAAUGGGCGCAAGCCUGAUGCAGCAACGCCGCGUGAGGGACGACGGCCUUCGGGUUGUAAACCUCUUUUAGUAGGGAAGAAGCGAAAGUGACGGUACCUGCAGAAAAAGCACCGGCUAACUACGUGCCAGCAGCCGCGGUAAUACGUAGGGUGCAAGCGUUAUCCGGAAUUAUUGGGCGUAAAGAGCUCGUAGGCGGUUUGUCGCGUCUGCUGUGAAAACUGGGGGCUCAACCCCCAGCCUGCAGUGGGUACGGGCAGACUAGAGUGCGGUAGGGGAGAUUGGAAUUCCUGGUGUAGCGGUGGAAUGCGCAGAUAUCAGGAGGAACACCGAUGGCGAAGGCAGAUCUCUGGGCCGUAACUGACGCUGAGGAGCGAAAGCAUGGGGAGCGAACAGGAUUAGAUACCCUGGUAGUCCAUGCCGUAAACGUUGGGAACUAGAUGUAGGGGCCAUUCCACGGUUUCUGUGUCGCAGCUAACGCAUUAAGUUCCCCGCCUGGGGAGUACGGCCGCAAGGCUAAAACUCAAAGGAAUUGACGGGGGCCCGCACAAGCGGCGGAGCAUGCGGAUUAAUUCGAUGCAACGCGAAGAACCUUACCAAGACUUGACAUAUACGAGAACGGGCUAGAAAUAGUUCACUCUUUGGACACUCGUAAACAGGUGGUGCAUGGUUGUCGUCAGCUCGUGUCGUGAGAUGUUGGGUUAAGUCCCGCAACGAGCGCAACCCUCGUUCUUUGUUGCCAGCACGUAAUGGUGGGAACUCAAAGGAGACUGCCGGGGUCAACUCGGAG